rnacentral:rRNA from 1 species
GAUGAACGCUGGCGGCGUGCCUAAUACGUGCAAGUCGAGCGAAUGGAUUAAGAGCUUGCUCUUAUGAAGUUAGCGGCGGACGGGUGAGUAACACGUGGGUAACCUGCCCAUAAGACUGGGAUAACUUCGGGAAACCGGGGCUAAUACCGGAUAACAUUUUGAACCGCAUGGUUCGAAAUUGAAAGGCGGCUUCGGCUGUCACUUAUGGAUGGACCCGCGUCGCAUUAGCUAGUUGGUGAGGGAACGGCUCACCAAGGCAACGAUGCGUAGCCGACCUGAGAGGGUGGUCGGCCACACUGGGACAGAGACACGGCCCAGACUCCUACGGGAGGCAGCAGUAGGGAAUCUUCCGCAAUGGACGAAAGUCUGACGGAGCAACGCCGCGUGAGUGAUGAAGGCUUUCGGGUCGUAAAACUCUGUUGUUAGGGAAGAACAAGUGCUAGUUGAAUAAGCUGGCACCUUGACGGUACCUAACCAGAAAGCCACGGCUAACUACGUGCCAGCCGCCGCCGUAA